AGUUAUAUGCUUGUCUCACAGACUAAGCCAUGCAUGUCUAAGUGCGCGCCUAUCAUUUGGUAAAACCGCAAACUGCUCAUUAAACCAGCCAUGGUUCAUUGUAUCGUACGAAACCCACUACACGGUAUACCUGUAGUAAUUCUGGAGCUAAUACGUGCCUUUGUGUGUGCAAUCCUUCGGGUGACCACCGCUCUUAUUAGACUAUAGACCAACCCGGGCAACCGGUGAAGUUUAUGGUGACUCUGGAUAAAAUAGUAUGAUCGCAGUCGGCCUUGUGUCGGCGAUGGAUUCAUGAAAUGUCUGCCCUAUCAACUUACGAUGGUAGGUAAUUUGCCUACCAUGGUUAUGACGGGUAACGGGGAAUCAGGGUUCGAUUCCGGAGAGGGAGCCUGAGAAACGGCUACCACAUCCAAGGAAGGCAGCAGGCGCGCAAAUUACUCACUCUCUGAGAGAGGAAGUAGUAAAGACAAAUAUCGAUGCAGGACUCUUUUGAGGCUCUGCAAUCGAAAUGAGUGCAUUUUAAAUCCUUUCACGAGGAUCAACUGGAGGGCAAGUCUGGUGCCAGCAGCCGCGGUAACUCCAGCUCCAGUAGCAUAUAUUAAAGUUGCUGCAGUUAAAAAGCUCGUAGUUGGAUCUGGAUUACGUUCAGUUGAUGUAGUCGGCGUAUGAUGAGGUCUCGGCCGAUUUGUGCGUUUGGUUAUGUCUUCUGGCUAGUCUAAUAGCUGUGUCUAUUCUCAACCUCGGUUGGGUGUAGGCAGGGGUAGAGUGUUAAGGAGAUCCUUGUGGUUGAAUUGCCUCUGCUUCUGUGUGCUGGAGUAUUCUUUAUUGGGUGCUUUAGUGCGGACGGCGCGUUUACUUUGAACAAAUUUGAGUGCUCAAAGCAGGCCUUGUGCCUGAAAAUUCUAGCAUGGAAUAAUGAAAUAGGACUUCGGUCCUAUUUUGUUGGUUUAACAGAACCGAAGUAAUGAUAAACAGAGACAGACGGGGGCAUUUAUAUGGCAGCGCGAGAGGUGAAAUUCGUAGACCGUUGCCAGAUAAUCUAAAGCGAAAGCAUCUGCCAAGUAUGUUUUCAUUUACCAGGAGCGAAAGUCAGAGGUUCGAAGACGAUCAGAUACCGUCCUAGUUCUGACCAUAAACGAUGCCAUCUGAUAUUUCGUGGUGACUCCUUAGGGAUCCCACGAGCAAUCCCCGGAAAACCUCUAAGUCUUUGGGUUCCGGGGAAAGUAUGGUUGCAAUGCUGAAACUUAAAGGAAUUGACGGAAGGGCACCACCAGGAGUGGAGCUUGCGGCUUAAUUUGACUCAACACGGGAAAACUUACCCGGGCCGGACACUAUGAGGAUUGACAGAUAGAUUGCUCUUUCAUGAUUUGGUGGCUAGUGGUGCAUGGCCGUUCUUAGUUCGUGGUAUGAGCUGUCUGGUUAAUUCCGUUAACGAACGAGAUACUAUUCUGCUAAUUAGUCCGUGCGUAUUAUUGUGCGGGUGCUUUAAUCAUCUCGGUGGUUAUUGUCAUCUUCAUGAGCGUGCGUGACUUCUUAGAGAGAUCGGUGGAUAGCCAAACCACAUGAAAAAGUGCAAUAACAGGUCUGUGAUGCCCUUAGAUGUUCGGGGCCGCACGCGUGCUACACUGAUAGUGAGAGAAAGUCUGAUCCCUGUCUUGAAAAAGUUGGGUAAGCUUUUAAUUGCUGUCGUGUCUGGGAUCGGGAUUUGUGACUAUCUCCCGUGAACUAGGAAUUCCUAGUAAGCAGAAUUCAUCAGAUUCUGCUGAAUGCGUCCCUGCCCUUUGUACACACCGCCCGUCGCUACUACCGAUUGAAUGUUUUAGUGAGGACAAUGGAUUGGUCUCUUCGGGUGCAAACCUGGAGCGAUUAAGAAGCUGUCCGAACUUGAUCAUUUAGAGGAAGUACAAGUCGUAACAAGGUUUCCGUAGGUGA
rnacentral:rRNA from 1 species